rnacentral:rRNA from 1 species
CAGCGCCACAAGUGGGAACCACAUUUAUUGGGUCUAAAGCAUCCGUAGCCGGCGCUGUAAGUUUUCGGUUAAAUCUGUACGCUCAACGUACAGGCUGCCGGGAAUACUGCAGCGCUAGGGAGUGGGAGAGGUAGACGGUACUCGGUAGGAAGGGGUAAAAUCCUUUGAUCUAUUGAUGACCACCUGUGGCGAAGGCGGUCUACCAGAACACGUCCGACGGUGAGGGAUGAAAGCUGGGGGAGCAAACCGGAUUAGAGACCCGAGUAGUCC